GGCGGCAUGCCUAACACAUGCAAGUCGAACGGGGGUAGCAAUACCCUAGUGGCGAACGGGUGAGUAACACAUAAGCAAUCUGCCCUUCACAGGGGGAUAACAGCGGGAAACUGCUGCUAAUACCGCAUAAGACCACGGUACCGCAUGGUACAGGGGUAAAAACGAAUCAGUGGUGAAGGAUGAGCUUAUGUCCCAUUAGCUAGUUGGUGAGAUAACAGCCCACCAAGGCGACGAUGGGUAGCCGACCUGAGAGGGUGAUCGGCCACACUGGAACUGAGACACGGUCCAGACUCCUACGGGAGGCAGCAGUGGGGAAUAUUGGGCAAUGGAAGGAAACUCUUACCCAGCAAUGCCGCGUGAGUGAAGAAGGUCUUCGGAUUGUAAAGCUCUUUGAUUGGGGACGAAGAAAGUGACGGUACCCAAAGAACAAGCCCCGGCUAACUACGUGCCAGCCGCCGC
rnacentral:rRNA from 1 species